CUUAUUUUACAGCCUGUUCCACGAUGUCGAAAGAACACGUUCGCACAACUUUUACACGACAAACAGCUGAUUUCCGUUCCACUAAAAUCCAUCAGAACGAAAAUUUGCACGAAAAUCAAAGCGAACGAAAACGUAAGCGUUUCAGUGUAAUUUUGCGUUCCACUAUCUUUUUUCUUUCGUACGCAUGCGAACACAAAUGUCAAAAUCAGUCACUUGUGUGUUUGCUGUCGAAUGAUAAAAAUUAAGGAAAAUUGUUUUAACAUAAACAUUCCUUGAUUGAAAAUGGAAAGAAAAAUCACGAAAAAACUACACAGCUGCGGGCACUAGUUGAGUAUAUGGGGGAGAAUCCUAAGUUCGCCAGAGGAGUGCCAAUUUUUGGAAGCAGCAGGCAAUCCCAUGAAGACCACUGGAAGACACAAACCUAGAAAAAAUCAUUUUUUUAUUAUUUCAAAAAUGUAAAAAUACAAUCAUACUUACUGGUUGUUAGGUACUUCAAAUAAAUUCGAAGCAUCUCUUAAA